ACGGCUUGAAACGGCUCGCGUACGUGCUUGUUCCGAAAUUGAUAAUGUUCACUUUUAUUUAAAAUAUUAGGUGCAUAAUAACAAGUAAACUGAAUAUUCAAGGGGGGUUAUUGUAUGUCAACCGACGCACGUUUUAUUAAUUAUCUUCAAUAGUUAUAUGCGUUUUUCGGAACAAUCUUUACAUUGAAAACAAUUUUAGUUAAUUACGUGCAUUGUUUAUUAUUUUUAUUAAAAUAAUUAUGCUUUUGCUAAUUUACUUGUUGUCGUCGUCGUCGUCUUGGCACUUUUGCUAAUUAGCUAAAUGGACUUGGCAAAGGGCAAUAACAUGUUUUCGGACUAUGGAAAACUGGACUGGAAAAGUAUGAGUGUGUAAAAUAUUGUAAAUUGCGUUUCUUAUUCGGGCGAAGAUUAGAUUCGGAAGCGAUCAUCACAAAAACGAGUGGAUGAUUUUGUUGUGAGAAUUGACAAUAUUGGCUUCAACACGGAUAUUUUCGAAAAAUGGGUGAAUUUUCAUGAUCCUGACAUUCUGUUGCAAAUCGGGUCAUUGUAUCGAUGCCCAAAAAAGGUUAUUGGUUUAAGCUUUAAGCUAUCCAAAAAUAUUGUUUCGGUGUUUAAAAAAUGCUUUUUGUUAGCCUCUAGUUAUGAAUCACCCUCAUCAUCUAAUUUUCCCCGAAACCCAGAAUAAUAGAAUUGGAAUUUCCGGUUUGGUGCUAAUUAUACUCCGAAAGAAUGGUACUGUGCACAACAUUGUCAAUAUAUGAGACAAUAAAAUUGGUAAUUGUUUUACUGUUGGCUAAGCGCGGAACGACCCAAACCGGUAUUAAAUAUUAGUGAAAACAUGAAACUCGGUUUGUGGAAGCAAAAUUAUUUCAAGAAUAGCAAUAACAUUUUUCUCAAUAUUUCAUAAAUGACAAAUUUCAAGUAGUCUUCUUCUACUAGUCAAAGUAGUUCUUGUAUAUGUAGUAUAAAUAAAACGACGGUCUUGAUUUGACUCUAAAAAAUAACCGUUUGUUACAGACAGCAGGAAGGAAAAGCUUGAGAAAAAAGAAGCUUAAGGAAAAGCGAACACUAAAACUCUUCGAAUACUCAUUGCGAAAAAUCAUUACAAAGCCAGCCACAGUUUGCAAAAUUCAUACAAUCAUCGGCCAUCGGAACUUUUUCCUUUGGGAUGUUUUUAUGUAACUAAACCGAUAAGGACUAAAACCCGAAAAAUUCAACGCUGUACCAUUGAAAUACCGCAAAAUCCGGGGGAUUUAAAUAACGUGGACUGCAUAAACUGAACAUAAUUUGCCACCGUCUUGGAUAAUUUAGGAAGGCUAAAAUUAUUCACAGUGACCAGACUGUUCCAAAUCAUUUUUUUGGAAUUUAAAAAAGUAACAAAACUCCGGAUGGUAAUUAAGGUCAAAAGUUACUGAACAUUUUGUAGACGAAGACGUAAAUAAACGAUCUAGUUUUUGCUCA